GAUUAACGCUAGCGGCAGGCCUAAUACAUGCAAGUUGUACGGGAUUAUUGGUAGCAAUACUGAUAUGAGAGUAGCGCACGGGUGCGUAACACGUAUGCAACCUACCUUUAACUGGGGAAUAGCUCACCGAAAGGUGAAUUAACACCGCAUAAAAUCACAGAAGGACAUCCUUUAAUGAUUAAAUCUCCGGAGGUUAAAGAUGGGCAUGCGUCCGAUUAGCUAGUUGGCGGGGUAANAGCCCACC
rnacentral:rRNA from 1 species